AUGGACGUCCGCCGCAGGCCCGGGGCGGCGGCAGCCGAUAGGCCGACGAAGUCGCGGCCGGCUGCUGCUGCCGCCGCGGCGCCGGCCGCGGCGCCGGGCGACCUGGUGCUCCGCGCGCCGAACCUCCGCGUGGUCCUCGCGGCGAUGGCUCUCUUCCUCGCGCCCUUCUCGUACCUCGCGUUCGUGCACUACCCCCUGGCCGCCGAUCUGCGGCGAUCCAUCCUAAUCUGCGGGGCCAUUAGCCUCGGCGGCUUCUUCGUCGUGCUCCGCCUCAUCCCCGUCGCCGCCCGCUACCUCCUCCGCCGCGGGAUGUUCGGCAAGGACAUCAACAAGAAGGGCUUGCCCAUGGGAGAGAUCACAGUGCCUGAGUCACUAGGCAUUGUUGUUGGGAUUGUGUACCUGGUCAUUGCUAUUCUAUUUCAACAUUUCAACUUCACAGCGGAUUCCAUUUGGCUUGUUGAAUAUAAUGCAGCAUUAGCAUCAGUCUGCUUUAUGAUUCUUCUUGGAUUUAUUGACGAUGUUCUUGAUAUUCCAUGGAGAGUGAAACUGCUGCUGCCUACGAUUGCAGCACUUCCUCUGCUUAUGGCGUAUGCUGGUGGUACUUCCAUCAUCAUUCCAAAGCCUCUAGCAUCCUAUGUCGGAGUAGAAGUUCUGGAGUUAGGUUGGAUGUACAAGCUCUUCAUGCUUUUGUUAGCAGUGUUUUGUACAAAUUCAAUCAACAUACAUGCUGGCCUGAAUGGUCUUGAAGUUGGGCAGACAGUUGUCAUAUCUGCUGCGGUUUUGAUACAUAAUGUAAUGCGCAUAGGAUCUUCUAAAGACCUUGAAACUCAGCAAGCUCAUGCAUUCUCUAUUUAUCUUGUCCUGCCUUUCCUGACCACUUCAUUGGCUUUGCUGGGUUUUAACUGGUAUCCUUCAUCUGUUUUUGUUGGUGAUACAUACACCUAUUUUGCUGGGAUGACUUUAGCUGUGGUUGGUAUUUUGGGACAUUUCAGUGAGACAUUAUUGCUCUUCUUUUUACCCCAGGUUCUUAAUUUCUUGUGCUCAGUACCACAGCUCUUCCACUUUGUUCCUUGCCCAAGACAUAGGUUGCCAAGGUUUGAUACCCAAACAGGACUGCUGACAGGUACCAAAGAUGGUAACCUUGUUAACAUAUUCCUUAGGUUGUUUGGGAAGUGCUCAGAGAAGUCCCUUUGCAUAAGGCUUCUUAUAUUUCAGGCUGUGUCAUGCCUAUUCUGCUUUUGGCUGAGAUACAUGCUUACUGGAUGGUACAAAUGA
rnacentral:rRNA from 1 species